rnacentral:rRNA from 1 species
UCCGUAGGUGAACCUGCGGAAAGGGAUCAUUUACCGAGUGCGGGCCCCUCGCGGGCCCAACCUCCCACCCUUGUCUCUCUACACCUGUUGCUUUGGGCGGGCCCACCGGGGCCACCCGGUCGCCGGGGGACGAACGUGCCCCCCGGGCCCGCGCCCGCCGAAGCGCUCAAUGUGAACCCUGACUGAAGAUGGGCUGUCUGAGUUGAUUGGAUGAAAAUUGUCAAAACUUUCAACAAUGGAUCUCUUGGUUCCGGCAUCGAUGAAGAACGCAGCGAAAUGCGAUAAGUAAUGUGAAUUGCAGAAUUCCGUGAAUCAUCGAAUCUUUGAACGCACAUUGCGCCCCCUGGCAUUCCGGGGGGCAUGCCUGUCCGAGCGUCAUUUCUGCCCUCAAGCACGGCUUGUGUGUUGGGUCGUGGUCCCCCUCUCCGCGGGGACCUGCCCGAAAGGCAGCGGCGACGUCGCGUCUGGUCCUCGAGCGUAUGGGGCUUUGUCACUCGCUCUGUGGGAAGGACCUGCGGGGGUUGGUCACCACCAACCAUUUUUACCACGGUUGACCUCGGAUCAGGUAGGAGUUACCCGCUGAACUUAAGCAUAUCAAUAAGCGGAGGA